CGAUCGAUUUUAAUUGGCUUCGGUCGAUCGAUAUUGCUCUUCAAGCGUCGAUCGAUGCUCUAUGCGUAAAAGUACUCCAAAGUGUCCAAAAAGCAUCAUUUCCUUCUAUCAAGUAACUGAACCUGUAAUUGCUUUGACAAGACUCUAAAACAUGAUAAAUAUAUAUUAAAGCACUUAUAUACCAUAACUAAAAAGGGGUAAAAUUCAUGGUAUAUCAACUCCCCCAGACUUAUCCUUUUGCUUGUCCUCAAGCAAAACAAACGGACAGUCUCUCUGAAAGAGGUUUGAAAAUAGCAGGGACUCACAGAUUUAAAACACAGAAGUCAUAACCUCUACAAUAUCGCAUUCCACAUCUAAAAAGUCCUAAUCACAAAGCACAUUAUACCAUAUCCUAGCUUAGCAACCAAAUUCCUCUAGCCAACAACUUAGCAAAUCUUAUCUGACAUUCCCCUC
rnacentral:lncRNA from 1 species